UACGUAGGGCGCAAGCGUUGUCCGGAAUUAUUGGGCGUAAAGAGCUCGUAGGCGGCCUGUUGCGUCCGCUGUGAAAUCCCGGGGCUUAACCCCGGGCGUGCAGUGGAUACGGGCAGGCUGGAGGCAGGCAGGGGAGAACGGAAUUCCCGGUGUAGCGGUGAAAUGCGCAGAUAUCGGGAAGAACACCCGUGGCGAAGGCGGCACUCUGGGACGGUACUGACGCUGAGACGCGAAAGCGUGGGGAGCGAACAGG
rnacentral:rRNA from 1 species